AAAUAAUAAUCACUUUAGUGCCCAAUCUCUUUUAAAGUUUCCUCUGUCGAUCAACCCUCUUACAUUCUGGUUCCGGCCGCCAUAGCUUCGCCGCCACUGGAAUUACCCACACUGCCGCUAAACCCCCUCCAAGGCUUGUUCUCUCAUCCUCUCGCAGGUUAAUGAUGAUGAGGGCACCAAGUGUUUGAUGAUUUUCCUGUGAGAAGAAAGAGCACAUUUGUGUAAGUUUUUGUGUCCAUGCAGUAGUAUGGCAAAUAGUAAAUAUGAGUAUGUCAAGUGUUUUGAGGUUGAGGAUGAGGUGUUGUUUCCCAAUUUCAUCCUUGUUUGGAUCAGUGCCUGCAAACUUUGUAAACCUCAUGAUGUUAAUGUCUUGAAAUUGAUGAACUCUUGCGCUGUCGCGGUGCUUGAAGAGUAUGCGGAUGUAGUCCUUGCAUAUGGGUUCAGUGAUGAGUUCACUUUUGUUUUCAAGAAGACUUCCCAGUUCUAUGAAAGGCGCGCUAGCAAAGUGUUAUCCAUCGUCACUUCUUUUUUCUCAUCUGUCUUUGUGAGAAAAUGGGGUGAAUUCUUCCCGCAAAAGAAGCUACAAUCUCCUCCGUCGUUCCAUGGGCGAGUCAUAGCUUGCGCGUCCAUAGAAGCUGUUCAAGCAUAUCUUUUUUGGAGGCAAAGUGUCUGUCAUUUGAAUAAUCAACAUGACCAGUGCUUUUGGCGUCUUGUUGAACGCGGGAUGGAUGAGGAGGAAGCGCUGGAUUUCAUCAAUUGUGCUCAGAAACGUGACCUAAAUGAUCUUUUAUUUGAUGAGUUCCAUGUCAAUUACAAUGAACUAGAGCCGAUAUUCCGACAAGGUUCCUGUAUUUUAAAGACAGUGGUAGAGGAUGUUGUGAAGUACGCAGAGAAUGGGGCUCCAAUUAAAAGGCAUAGGAGAAAGAUAAUCACUGUGCAUUCCAAGAAAAUAGCAAGUAAAAGAUUUUGGAAUGAGCAGACCAUUCUUGUGAAGGAGCUUGGUGGUUUCACGGAUGAGAUUAACAAUGUGAAACCAGAGUAUGUGAGGUCCUUCGAAUUCGAUAGCAAGUUGAUGCCGUCUACAUGGAUUGUAGUUCGACUUGAUGGAUGCCACUUCCACAGAUUUUCUGAGAUGCAUGAAUUUGUAAAGCCAAAUGAUGGUAGAGCUCUUAACCUGAUGAAUUCAUGUGCAGUGGCUGUGGUGGAAGAGUUUAGGCCGGACAUAGUCUUUGCCUAUGGGGUUAGUGAUGAGUAUAGCUUCAUUCUUAAGCAAUCCAGUGAUAUUUAUCAAAGGAGAGCUAGUAAAAUCAUUUCAGCUAUUGUAUGUUUCUUCACAUCAACCUAUGUGAUGAGAUGGAAAGAUUUCUUCCCACAAAGUGAGUUAAAGUAUCCUCCUUCUUUUGAUGCACGAGUAGUUUGCUAUCCAUCAACUAAAAUUAUAAGGGACUAUCUUUCAUGGAGGCAAGUGGAUUGCCACAUCAACAAUCAGUAUAACACUUGCUUCUGGAAGCUUGUUGCAUCUGGAAAGAGCAAAAGGGAAGCUCAGCAUAGUUUGAAGGGUGCACAACUGCAAAAGAAAAUUGAGGAAUUGGGUAUUGACUACAAUGAGUUACCAAUGAUGUUCCGACAUGGAUCCUCAGUUUUUUGGGACAAGGUAGACAAUGUUCUCAUUCACCAUGAGAAUAAUGGAGAGUCUUCUGAAAGUUAUGGAAAGGUCAUUGUAGAACAUAUUGACAUCAUUGGACCAGCCUUUUGGUCGGAACACCCAGGCAUCCUUGACUAAACGCUAUACAUGUAAUUUAUCUAAUACAUUACUUUAAUUCUACAGUUUUCUCAUUGGAGUGCUUACAGCCUGUUUUGACUAGAUUCUAUCAUGAGGUAUGCUCGACACUAAUCAAAGCGUUGCUUGUGUGAAUGAUGACAUUGUUCAGUCCAAAUAUGAUUCUGAUGAAGAUCAAGAUGAUCAAGAAGCAAAUCCCUUGGUGGUACCCCUUAAUGAUGGGGCUCCCGGCUCCCAUUAUUAAUGAUAAAUGAUUUAGUAAGAUAUUUUUUGCUGAAGCUGUAGAGGAAUGAGACUUUGAAAAGUAUGAGAGUGAAGACCAAAUGGAUAUUGAUGAAGCUGAGAAGAAGUCUGUUGCAAAAAAAGAUCAAAGAAAAUAAACAACUUUUGCAAUUUGCACCAAAUUCUCUGUAUUGAUUUGAUCACAGUGGUAAAAAUCGGACCGAUCAGUUCAACCGCUUGGAUUGAAAAUCGGACCCAUGCCCAGUGCGGUCAUGAAUGUGGAUUGGUUCUGCAUGCCAUGUCAUCAAUUUGGUUCCACAUUCCUAGUCAACUCAGUUGAUCUCAGUCAAAGGUGAAAGGAGCGCGGGUUAAACGUGUUGUACUAGCCACCGGUGUGGCUCCCUUUCUCAUACUGGUGUGGCUAGUACAACCGCUGCCUUGCUAAGUAAUGUGCACAAGAUGAUAUUAAUGGCUUUCUUAGUUGAAAUAUGUAGGUAAUUUAAUUUAUGUUCAACACAAGGGUUUUUCUUUUGUAAACAAAUUCUGCAUAAUUAAAAUUUGAAACCAAGUAUGCAGAUCUCAA